UUAUCUUCAAUCUUUUGUAUAGUCAAAUAUAUGUAUUUAUGAGAAUGGCUAUUUAUAUAUUUUGAAGUGUAGACAUUCAUUGUAAAUUUAUCCAUAUUUCCAAGACUGACACGCUAGCGAUUGUGUAAAAACAGAUCUUAGAUGAUGAGUCAAAGAAAAGCAAAUUAUGCUAACAGAUAAUUUGCCUUUCCCGAGCCAUUAAGUUGAAUUCCAAAAAAGGUUGCUUUAUAUUAAAUGUGUACCUAUCCGUUAUUAAACGGAUUCGAUCCCUAUUGUCAGAAUAUCAUUUUUUAAAGUUGGUUAAAAAUUAAUUCCAUGCCGAUAAUUUGUACAAAUACUGCCUAACAUUGUGCGAAAAAAAAAGUUUACGAGUGACAUGUGUCUUUUUGACUAGUUAUUAUUUCUGUAUAUUUUUAUAUACUUUUACGUAGAAAUACAAAUUAUUUAUACUAUUUAUGAGUUCAGAUAGACCAAAAUUGGACGGUGAUUGGCCCGGCGCUGACCAGUAAAGUUGGCUAACUAGUACUGCAACCACUGCUAGUAAAGCAACCACUUCUUUGGAUGGGUUCUUUGAAAUCUUUGGGUACUUAUUUUUCUAAUUUCGCUUACACCGUAGUGUCAUCAAUAGAUACCAUUAUUCAGAAUUAA